ACGCUCGACACCUACGGGAGGCAGCAGUGGGAAUAUUGCACAAUGGGGAAACCCUGAUGCAGCGACGCCGCGUGGAGGAAGAAGGUCUUCGGAUUGUAAACUCCUGUUGUUAGGGGAAAAAGAGGAUGGUACCCAACAAGGAAGUGACGGCUAACUACGUGCCAACAGCCGCGGUAAUCUGAGCGGGCUGGCAAGGC
rnacentral:rRNA from 1 species